CCACAGGCGAAGUCCGCGAAUGGCCGGUUUUGGCCGGCCGCGCGCGCCUUCCCAGCCAUACACCCGGUGGGCGACCCCUGUACGACGCCGGAUCCAACCAAGGGACGUCGCCUUCCCAUCAGGGACCCUGUGAAUUCGGCCCUGGGAUGAACUGGAUUUUUUUCCAAGUGAAAAUUCUGAGACAGUCAAAGGAAGAUAACCCCUGAUGACCACUGGUGACGUGGAGGUGACGGGGACCUGAUUGGCAGAUGGUGCCCUGGCUGCAGCAGUUGUAGGAGACCUUCUUCUCAGCCUCCACGAGCAGAGGAUUCUAUAAGUCGAGGGGGGAAUAGACACUUGUGAGGCCACCUCCACCAGAUCCGCUUGCCUGCCUGACAGUCCACCACUAUCGCUUCUCCAAACCUUGAGGCUUUUCAGUCUCUCCUAGUAAAAGGCAUGGAGAUGGAAUCCGGAGUCUUGGGGAUUUUGCAGCCAAAAGUCAUCUCCCAGCUUUGCCGUUUAAUCAGAGGGCUUUAAUCUAAGCCCAUUGCCAUUCCGAGUGUCAAUUUCCUUCUCUGCAAAAUAAGCCUAAGAAAUCCACAAGACCCUGGCUUUAUCUCCAACUCCAUUAUUCACUUGCUGUGUGACCUUGAACCAGUGGCUUGACUUCUCUGAGCUUUAGUUUUCUGGAAG